rnacentral:sRNA from 1 species
AGAGUUUUCCUUUUCUUUUAAAAAGAACCCUAAUUAGGCGAUUUAAAUGAGGUUCCCACAAGGCUUUGUAGUCGCAAAACACAGAGGUGACUCUUUUAACUCAGAGGCACUUUCCUCUGCCUUGCGUUUUAAUUUUAGAGCAUUGAUGAAUUGAUCGAGAAGACGGUCCCUGCCAACAUCCGUUUGAAAAGACCCUUGAAAAUGGAAGACCCUGUUUGUGAAAAUGAAAUCCUUGCAACUCUGCAUGCCAUUUCAAGCAAAAACCAGAUCUGGAGAUCGUAUAUUGGCAUGGGCUAUUAUAACUGCUCAGUGCCACAGACGAUUUUGCGGAACUUACUGGAGAACUCAGGAUGGAUCACCCAGUAUACUCCAUACCAGCCUGAGGUGUCUCAGGGGAGGCUGGAGAGUUUACUCAACUACCAGACCAUGGUGUGUGACAUCACAGGCCUGGACAUGGCCAAUGCAUCCCUGCUGGAUGAGGGGACUGCAGCUGCAGAGGCACUGCAGCUGUGCUACAGACACAACAAGAGGAGGAAAUUUUUUGUUGACCCCCGUUGCCACCCACAGACAAUAGCUGUUGUCCAGACUCGAGCCAAAUAUACUGGAGUCCUCACUGAGCUGAAGUUACCCUGUGAAAUGGACUUCAGUGGAAAAGAUGUCAGCGGAGUGUUGUUCCAGUACCCAGACACGGAGGGGAAGGUGGAAGACUUUACGGAACUCGUGGAGAGAGCUCAUCAGAGUGGGAGCCUGGCCUGCUGUGCUACUGACCUUUUAGCUUUGUGCAUCUUGAGGCCACCUGGAGAAUUUGGGGUAGACAUCGCCCUGGGCAGCUCCCAGAGAUUUGGAGUGCCACUGGGCUAUGGGGGACCCCACGCAGCAUUUUUUGCUGUCCGAGAAAGCUUGGUGAGAAUGAUGCCUGGAAGAAUGGUGGGGGUAACAAGAGACGCCACUGGGAAAGAAGUGUAUCGUCUUACUCUUCAAACCAGGGAGCAACACAUUCGGAGAGACAAGGCUACCAGCAACAUCUGUACAGCUCAGGCCCUCUUGGCGAAUAUGGCUGCCAUGUUUGCAAUCUACCAUGGUUCCCAUGGGCUGGAGCAUAUUGCUAGGAGGGUACAUAAUGCCACUUUGAUUUUGUCAGAAGGUCUCAAGCGAGCAGGGCAUCAACUCCAGCAUGACCUGUUCUUUGAUACCUUGAAGAUUCAGUGUGGCUGCUCAGUGAAGGAGGUCUUGGGCAGGGCCGCUCAGCGGCAGAUCAAUUUUCGGCUUUUUGAGGAUGGCACACUUGGUAUUUCUCUUGAUGAAACAGUCAAUGAAAAAGAUCUGGAUGAUUUGUUGUGGAUCUUUGGUUGUGAGUCAUCUGCAGAACUGGUUGCUGAAAGCAUGGGAGAGGAGUGCAGAGGUAUUCCAGGGUCUGUGUUCAAGAGGACCAGCCCGUUCCUCACCCAUCAAGUGUUCAACAGCUACCACUCUGAAACAAACAUUGUCCGGUACAUGAAGAAACUGGAAAAUAAAGACAUUUCCCUUGUUCACAGCAUGAUUCCACUGGGAUCCUGCACCAUGAAACUGAACAGUUCGUCUGAACUCGCACCUAUCACAUGGAAAGAAUUUGCAAACAUCCACCCCUUUGUGCCUCUGGAUCAAGCUCAAGGAUAUCAGCAGCUUUUCCGAGAGCUUGAGAAGGAUUUGUGUGAACUCACAGGUUAUGACCAGGUCUGUUUCCAGCCAAACAGCGGAGCCCAGGGAGAAUAUGCUGGACUGGCCACUAUCCGAGCCUACUUAAACCAGAAAGGAGAGGGGCACAGAACGGUUUGCCUCAUUCCGAAAUCAGCACAUGGGACCAACCCAGCAAGUGCCCACAUGGCAGGCAUGAAGAUUCAGCCUGUGGAGGUGGAUAAAUAUGGGAAUAUCGAUGCAGUUCACCUCAAGGCCAUGGUACUUGUCUUCUCCUUAGCAGAUGGGAGGGGCCGGGAUGGGGAGUGCUGGUGGGGAUCAGGGACUUGAUGGAUUAUGUAAAUGUCUUCUCUUGCAUUCUAAUGAAAAGUCUGCAGUUCUUCCUUUGACCAGAGUCUCCUCUACCCCUCCCAUCACCAACAGGGAGAAAUCCCCGUUUUCUAAUUCCAGCUUGUGUAAAAAACUGAAUGAAUUAUUCAUGGUGGUAGUAAGAGUACUCCUUGCAGAACUGCCUGCCUCUUUCUGCCCAAUCUUCCCUCUCCUUCUCGCCUUCCCCACUUAAUAAUCAAAAUGGCAGUCACACUUACACAUCUUCGUGUCAGCAAUUGUAACACAAAUGUCAGCUUUGCAAAUAUCCAUGACUGUGCCAGCCCCAUCAUGCUGAAUUCCUGGCAUCAUGCAGCUUGGUUUCCACCAACCCCCACUCUCAACCUCCCAACCUCCAGGAAGAAGUUGCUUAGCAACCGUAUCUGCUUCCCACCAGCGGACUGGCAGCUGCAUCUUAAGCGGGAAGGAAACCAGUGGAAUAGCAAUGUGAUUUUGAUGGUGGUGUUAUUAGGCAUGGAGACUGCGAACGCUGUGCAGUUGCCUUCUAAAGGAAGCUGAAAAUCCACAAUGCUGCACCUCUCUUCGAUCCACCCCUACCCUUCCAUUGCUCCACAAAGCUUUUUUCCAACAAGUGUUCCAGGCCAGUAGUUGAAAUUAUUAAGUCCCUCCAUUAUAGUAAUAUAGGACAUGACUUCCCUGGCCACCCCCAUGUUCUCAAACAUGCCUGCUCUGAUAUGCUGGCCAGGAAAACAAACAGGGACGUGACUUUUAUAUAUGCUUGCCUUCUGUAAAAGGAAAGAAUAAAGAAGACUUUUAUUUACAGAAA